GUGAUCGCGAGGAGCGGUGGCUCCACCUGUACUCAUCCUGGUUAAGGUCCUCACCUGUAAUCAUCUUCCUGGAUUCGUCUCACUUGUCUUACCUCCUUGAAACCCUAGAUUUUCCCUACCCUCCAUGCUCACUCCAAUAUCCUAGCCCUAGAAGAGACGAGUUGGGAGAGGGAGGGGAUCAGCGGGAUUGUGAGACAGGAGAACGGGUAAGGGGGUUUAAUGGUCAAAAUACAUUGUACUAGUCAGAGUUCUCUACAGUCACAGAACUUAUGGAAUGUCUCUAUAUUGAGGGGAUUUAUUGUGAUGACUUAACAGUCUGUAGUCCAACUACCCGAACGAUGGUCAGCUGUGAAUGGGAAGUCCAAGAAUCUAGUAGUUCGUCGCUCAGUCCCACGAGGCCAGUUGGUUUAGCUGGUAAAGAAAUAGAAAUAGGUUCCAACAGACGUACUGGCAAGUAAAUGCAAGCAGGCGAAGAAAAGUGAGCCUUCCUUCUUCCAGGGUCCUUAUAUGGGCCUCCAGCACGCUUGUCAGGUAAGCUUGAAGACAGGAGCUUGAAUCCCUAGCAUCUACAGAAAAGCCAGGUAGGCUUGGUUACCCGCCUGUAAUCCAAGCCUGCAGGAGACAGGAUCCCCAGGGCACGGUGACUAGCCAGAUGAGGUGAGUUCUGGGUUCAAGAGACACUGCGUUACAUCAAUAUGUAAGAUGGAGAGAUGUGAGGGUCUGGCUUUCACAUGCAGACCCUCACAAAUAUACCUGCUGAGUACAUACUUCUUUUCUUAAUUAAAGGCUCUGACCAGCAAGAUGGCUCAGCGGGUAAAGGCAAUUCUUAACACACACACACACACACACACACACACACACACACACACACGGAAAGUGCUUAGCUGUGUCACACGUUGUUACGCAUGCUUUAAAGAGAAUGCCCUAUAGGGGGCAGUGCCAUCCUUGGAACUGCCUUUUCUGAAGACCAUUUCUGGUUGGCAGCAUCUACUCACACAGGAGUGUAGUGGUUCAGGACUUAAAUCCCAGUACUCAGAAGGCAGAAACAAGAUCUGUGCUAGUUCUUAACCAGCCUGGGCUAAUGUGAAUAAUUCAAAGCUAACCUUGGCAACAGUGGGAGGCUCACAAAAACAAAACAAAACCACAAAUGCACGUGGGAUAAGUCUAUGCAUGUUACCCUGUAGCUUGCCGACUUGAUGAAAUAUCUUGCCUGCAGCGUGAGAGAAGACGAGUUUCUUCUGGCUCACAAUUCAAGGGCAUGGUCUGCGGCGACGUGGAAGACUGGCAGCAGGGGCUUGGGGCAGCCAAUCACAGGGUUUCUCUCUAUAGCCCAUUCUGACAAUGAAAUCCUUCUAUCUCAGCCUCCUGAGCUGGGAUUACAGGUGUGUUCAACCAUGCCGUGCUUUUGACUCCUAACCACAAGGACUUGGCCAGCCAUCAUGCCUCGUAUCAAAAUAAAUAAAAUCACAGAAUU
rnacentral:lncRNA from 1 species